rnacentral:rRNA from 1 species
ACGAACGCUGGCGGCGUGCUUAACACAUGCAAGUCGAACGGAAAGGCCCUGCUUUUGUGGGGUGCUCGAGUGGCGAACCGGUGAGUAACACGUGAGUAACCUGCCCUUGACUUUGGGAUAACUUCAGGAAACUGGGGCUAAUACCGGAUAGGAGCUCCUGCUGCAUGGUGGGGGUUGGAAAGUUUCGGCGGUUGGGGAUGGACUCGCGGCUUAUCAGCUUGUUGGUGGGGUAGUGGCUUACCAAGGCUUUGACGGGUAGCCGGCCUGAGAGGGUGACCGGCCACAUUGGGACUGAGAUACGGCCCAGACUCCUACGGGAGGCAGCAGUGGGGAAUAUUGCACAAUGGGCGGAAGCCUGAUGCAGCAACGCCGCGUGCGGGAUGACGGCCUUCGGGUUGUAAACCGCUUUCGCCUGUGACGAAGCGUGAGUGACGGUAAUGGGUAAAGAAGCACCGGCUAACUACGUG